rnacentral:rRNA from 1 species
CGUAGGUGGCAAGCGUUGUCCGGAUUUAUUGGGUUUAAAGGGUGCGUAGGCGGUGAUUUAAGUCAGUGGUGAAAUACUUCAGCUUAACUGGAGAGGUGCCAUUGAUACUGGGUCACUUGAGUACUGAUGAGGUAGGCGGAAUGGACGGUGUAGCGGUGAAAUGCUUAGAUAUCGUCCAGAACACCGAUAGCGAAGGCAGCUUACUAAGGGGUAACUGACGCUGAGGCACGAAAGUGUGGGGAUCAAACAGGAUUAGAUACCCUGGUAGUCCACACUGUAAACGAUGAUCACUCGAUGUUGGCGAUACACAGCCAGCGUCUUAGCAAAAGCGAUAAGUGAUCCACCUGGGGAGUACGCCGGCAACGGUG